rnacentral:rRNA from 1 species
AUUGAACGCUGGCGGCAGGCCUAACACAUGCAAGUCGAGCGGAUGAAGGGAGCUUGCUCCUGGAUUCAGCGGCGGACGGGUGAGUAAUGCCUAGGAAUCUGCCUGGUAGUGGGGGAUAACGUCCGGAAACGGGCGCUAAUACCGCAUACGUCCUGAGGGAGAAAGUGGGGGAUCUUCGGACCUCACGCUAUCAGAUGAGCCUAGGUCGGAUUAGCUAGUUGGUGGGGUAAAGGCCUACCAAGGCGACGAUCCGUAACUGGUCUGAGAGGAUGAUCAGUCACAGUGAAACUGAAACACGGUCCAGACUCCUACGGGGGGCAGCAGUGGGGAAUAUUGGACAAUGGGCGAAAGCCUGAUGCAGCCAUGCGGCGUGUGUGAAGAAGGUCUUCGGAUGGUAAAGCACUUUAAGUUGGGAGAAAGGGCAGUAAAUUAAUACCUUGCUGUUUUGACGUUACCAACAGAAUAAGCACCGGCUAACUUCGU